ACAAAUACAGCACAUUCAUUUCCAUUCACAGUUCACCUCUUUUCUCUUUCCCAAACAUAAAGAAUCCAAAGCUCAACUAUCAAACUAUUUAUAACUCUUUUUUUCUUUUUUUCAAAUUGCCCCUUUCUUCAUCUGGAUUUUCACAUUCACCUAAUAACAUUUCCUUCUUCAAUGGACAACCAGUUUUCCCUCAAUGCACCACCAUUCCACGUUGAACCCUCCCUAUCAGCUUCCUACUACCUAUCUUCCGCCAUGGAUAUUCAUGCAACCGAGCUGAAUUGCUCCCAACAUUGUGAACAACCAACUGAUUAUUAUGGUCUACACUUCCAUUUUCCCCUGAGUUCAAUGCCAUCUCAAGUUGGUGGUUUUCAAGGGAACAACAACAACAUUUCUCCAUUGCAGGGUCGAUCAAAGUUUGUCACUUCUCAAAAUGAAUCAUUACUGAAUCCCAAUGCUGAUUUGGAAGCUUCAAAAUAUUGGAAUUCAAGGAAAAGAACAAAAACAGUGGAAACUUCAGCUUCACCAACAAUUGCUGCAAAGGGGUCUGAAAGAAACCAAGAAUCAAAUGAAAAACAGAGCAACACUAAUACCAAUACUAAGCCUCUAGAACCUCCCAAGGACUAUAUUCAUGUUAGAGCAAGAAGGGGUGAAGCAACCGACAGCCAUAGUUUAGCUGAAAGAGUGAGAAUCGUAUAUAUACUGUUCUGAAUUCAAGCAUGACCAACUGGGUUUUUCUUGCAUUUAACAAAGGCUAUAUAAAUUUGUCACUUGAUCAGGUCCGUAGAGAGAAAAUUAGUGAAAGAAUGAAGCUUCUGCAAGAUCUUGUUCCUGGUUGCAACAAGGUAAUUUGGAAAUGCCUUCAUUGUGAUAAGUGAAAACUUACUGAUCAAACCCUCUAAUUGCAGGUCAUUGGAAAAGCAGUUAUGCUGGAUGAAAUUAUAAAAUACGUUCAAUCAUUGCAGAGACAAGUUGAGUUCCUCUCAAUGAAGCUAGCUUCAGUUAAUAGCAGACUGGAUUUUAAGCUGGAUAGUGUCAUGUCCGAGGAUAUAUUUCAAUCAAACAACAAUUUUGCAAAUCCAAUAUCCACAAUAGAUUCCUGGGCAUCAGCCAUUUUUGGGCAGCAGCAGCAAAACCUUGCACUGCAUAGCAAUGUUUCUAAUGGGACAAUGACCCAAUGCUCAGUGAAGCCAAUGGAUACUGCAAUAUGGCCCCAACUUCAACACCCAUUUACCUCCAAUUAACUUCCCCGUAGCUAAUUUCAUUUUCACAAAAUCUUAGCCAGGAAUGGGGUUACAAUGAGAAAACUUCCAGGGGUCAAAUCAAGUAUCCCAUAUGAAAGUUGAGGUCUAAUAACCUUUACUUGGUCCUGGUUUGAAGUUCCAGAACUGCUGCUGUGCAAUGUAUAUACAAAGAAUAUUAUCCAUGUAGUGUAAAAUUUGUGUAUUUCCUGGUGCAAUAAUCUUAUAGCAAAAGCACCAACAUUAAGAUAUCAUGUAACAGCAUCUUUUAAUUAUAUAAGUGCAUCAAGGGUGGCAGUGGACUAGACCCUAUCAAUCA